AACUCUCAACCCCCUCAUUUUGUAAUGAAGUGAGCUGCGGGCUUGGUUUAUGGCUGUUGUCGGCGUAAAGGCCGGCUCGGCUGAAAUUGACGAGCGACCCAGUUUGAAUACCAGACGGCUUGACUCGGCGUAAUAAUUAUUUCGCUGAGGACGUCUUACCUUUAAAUCGUUAGUGGUGCUUCUAAUGCAUUUUCAUUUUAAGC
rnacentral:misc_RNA from 1 species